rnacentral:rRNA from 1 species
GAUGAACGCUGGCGGCGUGCCUAAUACAUGCAAGUCGAGCGAACAGACGAGGAGCUUGCUCCUCUGACGUUAGCGGCGGACGGGUGAGUAACACGUGGAUAACCUACCUAUAAGACUGGGAUAACUUCGGGAAACCGGAGCUAAUACCGGAUAAUAUAUUGAACCGCAUGGUUCAAUAGUGAAAGACGGUUUUGCUGUCACUUAUAGAUGGAUCCGCGCCGCAUUAGCUAGUUGGUAAGGUAACGGCUUACCAAGGCAACGAUGCGUAGCCGACCUGAGAGGGUGAUCGGCCACACUGGAACUGAGACACGGUCCAGACUCCUACGGGAGGCAGCAGUAGGGAAUAUUCCGCAAUGGGCGAAAGCCUGACGGAGCAACGCCGCGUGAGUGAUGAAGGUCUUCGGACCGUAAAACUCUGUUAUUAGGGAAGAACAAAUGUGUAAGUAACUAUGCACGUCUUGACGGUACCUAAUCAGAAAGCCACGGCUAACUACGUG